CCGUGGAUAGCCCUAAUUUCUUCCCCCUCUUUCUCACUCUCGCUCUCUCGUCAAUGAUCUGCAAGACAGCAAGCACGACCAUUCUCUCACUCUCGCCACCAAAAUCCCUCUCUCUCUCGUGUCUCUUUGAGCCCUUGAUGCGAAGCCGCCUUUCUUCCAUCGACACCAUCAACGACGCAGCCGAAACGAGAGUACAACAGGCAGCCGGGGAAUCUUUUUAGAAGAAGAAGGCGUAGACCACUUAGCACUGAACCGUGAACUCUCUGAAGUACUGAAGUUCAUUCGGCAGUAGGUGAGAGAAGAAGUUCAUUCGGUCAAUAGAAGAAGAUAUUUGAGAUGGAAUCAAACUUAGAGGAAGCGCUCAGGUUUAAAGCAAAUGCUGAGAAGAAGUUUGCAGAGAGAAAUUUUGUUGGUGCAAGGAAUUAAGCUUUUAAAGCUCAGAUGUCCUGUCCUGAACUGGAGGGCAUUUCUCAAAUGGUGGCAAAUUUUAGAGUUUACAUUGCUUCAGAGGCAAAAAUUAAUGGAGAAUUUGAUUUCUAUUCAAUUCUUGGAAUGGAUCCAUCCGCAUACAAGUCUAAGUUGAAGAAACGGUACAAGAAGAUGGCAAUGUUGCUUCAUCUCGAUAAGAACAAAACUGUGGGUGUUAACGGAGAAAAGGUAAUUGCUGAAGAGAGUUUUAAAGAAUUACGUAGUCUAGUUUUUGUAUUUAUAGGCUAACUUGUUUUCUUUGAUACAAGUAAUUUCGUUUUUUCAAGUGUGUAAGAAGGAUUUGUGAUGAGGAAUUUAUUACUCAUUUUUAUUGCAUAAAUAAAUUUAACAA